UACGAAGGGGGCUAGCGUUGCUCGGAAUUACUGGGCGUAAAGCGCACGUAGGCGGCUUGUUAAGUCAGGGGUGAAAUCCUGGAGCUCAACUCCAGAACUGCCUUUGAUACUGGCGAGCUUGAGUUCGGGAGAGGUGAGUGGAACUGCGAGUGUAGAGGUGAAAUUCGUAGAUAUUCGCAAGAACACCAGUGGCGAAGGCGGCUCACUGGCCCGGUACUGACGCUGAGGUGCGAAAGCGUGGGGAGCAAACAGG
rnacentral:rRNA from 1 species